AAAUACCAAAUGUAGAUGCAACUCUUGCACCAAUUUAACCAAAUCAUAACCCUAAAACAAAAUAGCAUACAAACAGAAAGUAAACCCAAAAUCCAAAUUGAGGGGAAAGAAUUAGCUGCAAAAUAACAGAGAAAACCCACAUUUUUCAGCUCAGUCAACCCAAAUCCUAAUUCUCUAGCCAUCAAAUUAAACCUAUAUAAAUCCCCAGAGUUCAAUUCCCAUCUUUGGUAAAAUAAACAGAGCAUAAUUAACACCAAAAAAACACAAACACGGACAAAGAAGAAGAAAAAACAUACCACCAAGAGUAGUUGACAGCAUGAUCGAGCUUGAGAGAGAGAAUAAGAGAGAAGGAGAAAAGCAACCCAUGAGCCACCACCACUUGAAAAGACUUGAAAACUCUCCUCCAGCUCAUCAUCUCCCCAAACCAAAAUUCUAUGACACCAAAAAA
rnacentral:lncRNA from 1 species